rnacentral:rRNA from 1 species
UGUGCCAGCAGCCGCGGUAAUACGUAGGUGGCAAGCGUUAUCCGGAAUUAUUGGGCGUAAAGCGCGCGUAGGCGGUUUUUUAAGUCUGAUGUGAAAGCCCACGGCUCAACCGUGGAGGGUCAUUGGAAACUGKAAAACUUGAGUGCAGAAGAGGAAAGUGGAAUUCCAUGUGUAGCGGUGAAAUGCGCAGAGAUAUGGAGGAACACCAGUGGCGAAGGCGACUUUCUGGUCUGUAACUGACGCUGAUGUGCGAAAGCGUGGGGAUCAAACAGGAUUAGAUACCCUGGUAGUCCACGCCGUAAACGAUGARUGSUAAGUGUUAGGGGGUUUCCGCCCCUUAGUGCUGCAGCUAACGCAUAAGCACUC